rnacentral:tRNA from 1 species
GGCGGCGUAGCUCAGUUGGUUAGAGCAUGCGGCUCAUAUCCGCAGUGUCGCAGGUUCGACUCCUGCCGCCGCCACCA